CUUUUAAAUUGCUUUUCAGCACCAGUGAAAGAUGGUAUUCCUCGUAAUUCUUCCUAAGAAUAUGAAUGGACCUCCUUGUUGCUGUAAUCUCAAGAAACGAUAAUGAGUCUUCCUUAUAGCCAUAGGGUGAUCACAUUUUGCAGCAUGUGGGGGCUAAAACUUUUCUUAGAGCAGCAUGCUUGUGAGUAAAUGAAUGCUUUGUUAGUGGAAAGCCCACGUUUGUUUGCAAGGCCACAUGUGUGUCAAAGCAGGACCUGCAAAAUACCAGCCAUGAUUCAGGCACUCUCAUGACACUGAAAAACUAAAAGUGAAUGUUGCUGAGAACCAUAAGGAAGAACAUUAUGUAACCAUCCUCUUUUUAUUCUACUCUUAAAUGGCUCAUCCUCUGUGAGCAGCAGGACUAUAAAUUUUCAUGAUAGUAAAAAUGGAGUCUGAGUGAAUUGAUUCCAAAAUCUCCUUGCUGGCCUCGGUGUAGCCUAAAAGCCACACAUAUCUAAAUGGUAAAAUGCCCUCUGGUUGACAGUGAAGCAAGUUCAUAACCCUAGUUAAUGAAAUCACACAAAAGCAGGCUUUCUCAACCAGUUAGGCUUUAAGUAUAACAGUUUUUAUGCCUUCUAUCUCUGUUCAUUCCACCUUGUCAUAAUCUUUUCCAGCUUAUCACCACAUACUGUCUAAUUAGAAAAGUCUUCUUAGAGAAUUGUUUUAUCUUCAUUUUUCCAGGAAAAAUCCUAUGUCAUGGCCCUUCUUAAAUAAUACAGGAUUGAAAAACCAAGAGGAAGAUGAUCAAGGAGUUGCAUUGGUUUGACUCAAUCAAAUUAUUUUAGUCAAUGCAGUCAAUGACGAAAGCUACACUGAUCAAAAUGGAAAGAAUGGCAGAAAAAACAACAACGGAUUAGAACAAUUGUGCAAAGACAGAUCUCCUUCUCAAUCAUUGGCUUUGGAAACAGCUCGUUGCCUAAAGGGCUUUGGAGGGCAGAUCCUGGGAUCAGAGGAAUCUCUUUCCAAGUGGCUGAAGAACUGGACAGAAAUCAGGGACAUGUGUGGUGAAAGGAGGACCGAGGAGGGAGGGAAGCCUUUUGUAUGUGUUUUAUUCUUUUCAUAGGGAGAAAAAAAAAAGAUGAUACUAAAGGAUAAGAUGCUUGAGAAGAAAAACUAAAGCAUGGGAAUGGACAUGCUUUAGGGCAGAAGAGAAAGGAGGGAGCGUAGCAAGAAGAUACGGAAGAGAACAAGACUACUGAAAGGGCAUCCAUGUAGAAAACAGUCACCCAGGACAAGAGUUCAUUGCAGUUUUUCCUCUCUUGAGGUGUGUGUGGGAACACCCGAUAAGAAGCACUCUAAAAAGCUGCUGGUGUUAUGGAGAUGGUGUUUAUAGACUCUCACUACGAUAUUAGCAGCCAGCUGGGUCAAGUGUCACAGACCAUACCGCUCUUGUUUCCUGAAGGUGUUUUCAUUUGUAGGAAUCAUUAGUGCAACUUUACACUCAUUGAGUAACUCAAACAGUGAAAACUUGGACUGGUUUUGUAGCCACUUACAUUAACAAUGUCUUUCAGUUAUUUCCUUCUCAGGACUUUAAGGAAGUGUGACAAAUACUUGGUAGGUCACCCCAGCAAUGCUUUCUACAAUUGUUUGGCAGCUCUUGAAAAUCUGAGUCAUGUCCUUUCCUGUUUCCAAUUUUCACUGGGGAACUCCCUCUUAGUACUUGACACUUCACCACUCCAACAAUACCCAUGCUUACUUGCACACCACAAAACAUUUCUCAUUUUAUCCCAAGUGACCUACCUCUGCAAAUAUUUCAGUAUUAUAAACAGUCAAGGCCCAUUUUUGAGCAAAACUCUAACUAAAUACUGAGCUUGCCUCCCUUGUUUUUUUGGGGGGUUUGUUGUUGUUUGUUUUUUAGUGAUUACAUUCAUAUGAGCCAACUUAAAUCAAUUUUGAACCAAGACGCUGCAAAGAAAAGUCCAUGGACUGGAUACUAAUCAUUGUUUAUUUCUCUUUUUUUUUUACAUUGUUAAUUGCAUUUUCUGUUCCUUUUUGGCAGGCAUAAUUAUCAAAUAUACUAAUCAAAUGUCAAAGUGGAGAUCUUUCAUCCUUAAUUUUUUUGCUUUACAAAAAUAAGUGUUGCCUAAAGUUCGUAGUAUAGUAUUUAAACACGUGUGGGAGUAGAAUUGUUUUAGACCACACCACAGACAAAUACCAGAAUGGUCAAACCCUGCAUUUUGUUUGCCCAGACAGCUUGGCUGUCUCUCUGUUGUCUCUGAGGAUUGUAGACAUGCUUCAUCUUAAAGAUGCUGGUAAAGUAACUAAUCUGAUUCCGUCUCUGUUGAAUUCCAGUUUAUGGUAUUUGAGUUUAAGAAGUUAUUUCCUAGUCAAAGGUAUGGGUUAAUUGUUGUUUUAUUCUUUUCCCCUCCUGUUGUUUAGGGAAAGCUGGUUUUGCUCAGCCUAAUCAGCUCAACAGUCAAACAUUGAAUCUUCCACAUUUUCAAUAAAACUGAUCCCUAAAAAAGUGCUAAAGUAGUAAGGUGAGACCAGUUGUGGCAGUGGUCAUUCUAAAUAUAGUUUUGCAAAUCUCCACAUGCAGUUUUCUCAGUGUAGUUUGAAUAUUUUUUUUCCUUUAACUAUCUUCUAUUUUCGUGGCAAAUAUUUUUGGAAAUGAAUAUUUUUAAAAUAAAAUUUUAAGUUAAUAAGAGGCUUUUCCUCUUCAAACUAGCCACUGCAGUAUCUGCAGACAAUUAUUAAUUAUCUCUUCUUCAGACUUGCCUGUCUGUCUUUCCAAAGACACAAUUCUGACACUUCCCAAACCAGAGGCAGGAAGGAAGAACAGUCAAUUGCCAUUGCAGAUGACUCUGAAAAUGAACAAUUCAGUUUUCAUUCCAAAUUGCCAAUGAAAGGUAAUUGCUAAGCUCUCCACAGAACAGCAAUCUGAAAAAUGUUGGCUUGCUAAUUUCAACAAAUUGGGACUGGGGAAGAUUAAGAAAAUGUAGACUUCCAAUUUCAAAAGCCCCUGAGUUUGCCAUAGAGGGUGGGGCUUGUUUGUUCCUUUUCAGCCCAUGUAGUGGGAUGGCAGGAGAGGGAGGGGAGCAUUUGAGAUUCUUUGAUUUCUAGACUACUGGGACAAGGAAUCUGAAAAUCCUGGACACUCCUUCCCUGGAGGGCUGCCAGGAUCUGUAGGGCUCCUAAUAUUUCUGACUUUGAAAAAAAAAAAUAAAAAAUCUGCCAAGAGGGUUGACUGUAGGCCAAGACAGCACAGAAGCACUCCCCAAAGUCUGUCUGCUGAACUUCUGAGAUUUCAAUGAGUAAAUCAGCAAGAGUUCAAGCAGGAUCCCAAGGGAAAAGUGCCUCUUGGCUUUGAUUUAAAAUGUAUUCCUUAAAAGUUCCCUAACAACUUUAAUAGUAGAUGAGGAAAAGCAAGCAGUCUGCGUAACAGUAGCUGAACAUCCCAGGGAACGUUGCCAGCAGUGACUGGCUGCAGUCAGAUGCAGCUAAUACAAACCUCCUCACAGAAUUUCUGCCUCUUAGUGUCUCCCAGUGACAUCACAUCUGUACUGGCUUAAAAGUAAACUGAUCCCCUUCCUUAGUUUUACAGCUACAGCUUGUCCUGAUCUUCUUAUUCCUAAGCUCUGAAAUACUUUCAGAGUCAUCUGACAGUUGUCCACAGGACACACUGAUCCCAGCAAUUGAAAAGUGAUCUGGAUCACAAUCUGUCUGAACUGAACUGCAGUAUUGGCUCAAACUCUCCUUUUUCAAACACUUUGGACGUAGAAGUUAUUGUCAAAACAUAGGUAAUGUUUGUUGAAAAAUUAACUAAACUGUGCAGUGUCAAAACCCCACCCUUUUCAACAAUUUUUAAGUCAUGUUUUUCUUUCCCUUCAUAUAGUCUUGUCUUCUUCCUCUGUCUUUGGAAGACCUGAAAAAUCAAGAUGUAUGUCAUCAUUUAUGCGGCAGCAGUUUGGUGUCUUGGUCAAGACAUGACUGAACAUGUUUUGAAGAGGGUAGACAAAUCACCUUUUUUGUUUAUAGAAAGCAAAAAGUUUCUGCUUUGAAUGCCAUGAUGUGCCACUCUGUUGCAUUCACUUUGUAGAAGCUUCUUAACACUGAAAGACAUUUUCAUAAAUUUUAAGAGAGCACUCUAAAAAUAUCAGGUAAGUUCUAUUAACAAGUGAUAAGUUAGUAUGAAGGUUUUAGUAAUCAUCCACUUUGCAGGCAUUUUAGAUGGAAGAAAAUCUGUUCAGAAAGCUGUGUUACCUACCACACAUGCUGAAACACUGUCUGUUCACAAGAAGACACAGCAGUGGAUGAAUCCCUUUUGGGAGAACAGCCUGUUGGAGUAGAGAACUGGAAACAUUGGAAAGAGUAAAUGUGAAGAAGCUCUGUCUUGAAAAAGGUAGUCUUACGAGUCCUCUUCUUUCUUAAAAUAUAUAUUUAAUCCUUAGUAUGAUUUUUGCAAAGACCACCUCUGCUUCUGUCAAAAAAAUGAAACUACUGCAACUGUUAGCAUCCUGAUCCUGUGCUAUUUGCCUCUUCUGGAAAGGUCAAGGGAUCCUUCUUUCCAUUAAAGUGGACCUUCUGACUUGCAGCAUCAAUGAUCCAGAUUCUGCUCUCAAAUUGCUCUGUCAUUAUCUCUCUGUUGUUUUCUGUUGUAAAUCACUGAUUGUGAUUGCCUGUAAACAACAGUGGCACGAUAGUACUGGAGUAAUUGUCAUGUUUGUUCCACGUGAUCAUGACACUUCAACAUGAGAGGAGUUACAAGAACAUGCCCACCUGUGGACUCUACUGUUGAUUUUGGAUCAAUCUUUGCGUUACCUGAAGGUAGAUGUUCACUUUAUAAAGCAUUGUCUGGUUUAUCAGUUCAGCUUUAAGUAUAUGUUUAAGCAAAACUUACUGGCAACACUCCACCAAAAUUGUUUGCUGUUGGAUACGUCCUGACAGCUCCUACCAAGCACAGUAAUGGGAAAUCCUCAACAGAGCCAUUUAUUUAAUUAGAAUUAUUUUGAAAUAACUAUUAUGUAUGUACAUUAGAGUUGAUUUAAGUAGAGACUUAUGACCAUUCCAUAUAUUGUGUUACCCAAGUUGCUCUAGCUCAUGGGACAACUGGAUAAACUGGCAAAGUGAAGCUGUUUGUCACAGGCAAUUUAAUUCUCUAAUUAGCUUUUCCUUCUUCCCAUAUGCUUGCAGGGCAAGAAUCUGCUCUGGUUUGGUUACAUUCACAAGAAAGACAAAAGGUCUUUUGGAAAACUGAACUUCCCAAUUACUAAAAUAGAAAAGAAAAGAUACAAAACUAAAAACAAACACACAAAGAGUCUUUAGGAGGAAAAAAAGGAGGUUGUUAAAAUAAGCAGGUGGAUUCUUUUCUUAGCUAUAUUGAUUUAAAUAAAAGUUAUUUCAGUGACAUGAAAUAUAAAUGUAUAUAAGAAUAACUGAAGGGCAGCAUCUGACUUUCAUUGCCUCUGUUGCAGUGAUAGCUGGGCUUCACUUGUGCUUGCUGGAGAUAAAAUACUUCCCCAUGGUCAUACCAAGUUCAACAACCAGCUCAAAAGCACAAGUAAUGAUGCAAGCAUCAGCUGUGCCAGGGAGAGAGUAAUAUAACUGAAAGCUAUUUACUUCUGGUGAUAUUUCUGUAAGAGAAAAUGUGAGUUUGCAGCCUUUUCUUAGCUGGGUUGCUACAAACACUGUCCAACUACAAAAACCUCCUUUUUUGUGUGUGUAUUUGUAGGCAUUCUGACUUAGCUCUUCCAUGCUUUUUAAGGGAAGAAGGAGAGAGGUGAGAUGCCACAGGGCUUCAAAUGACGCCAAUUAUGCGGGAAGAAUCCCACUCUAUGAGGCAUAGCCAUGCAACUUUGCAUGUUGAGUUUCUUGUUCAAAAAUGUCCAUGAAACAUUUCCUUCAUGCUUCACCAAUUUAUGUUGUGCCAAGGGUCCUUUCCAGAGCUUUACAACGAACUCGAGGCUUGUAAGAAAAGGCCAAAAAGCCAAGGAAUAAUGUGCUACAGACAGAGGGGCAGAAAGCAGAACAAGGGUACCAACAAGUCUGCAGGUUAUGCCAAGAAAUUUGUUAAAUUCACAGCCAGUUUGUAUCCCUUUGUUCUCCUGCCGCAUUGUUUAGCUGCUCUCACAUGACAGACUGUCCAUUCUCAGUGUAACCCUUCUCUGCACCUUUGCUAGAACUGUUUUCUUCUCCAGAACUGUUUUCCUCUCAAGUGUGAGAGCACAAAUCAUAUACUGUGUUCUGGGGGAAGCACCACAGAGCGUUUUGUACAACUGCGUUAGUGCUUCCCUGCCUCUACUAGCAAAAUACCAUCUAAGGCAUGUUCUCCUCUUCUCUGAAUGCCUGAAGAUUUCAUUCAAUCAUCUUUUGCAUGUCCUAGCUCAUUUGACUUUUGACAAAACUGUCCUUAAUCCUAUGCAUCUCUAUCUCUACACAACAGCUAUCUUUGUUGACCAGGAUUAUUUGCUAUUUCUGACUCCUAAGAACCGCUCUAUAGUGAAGUUUUUUUCCACUUAUUCAGGCCUAAAAUACUUCUCAGUAAGAUUUUUUUUCUUGAUGGGAAUAGUUUUUAUAUCUUCGGUCUAGAUAUAUUCCAGUCUUCCUCCACAUUCAAGUCUUUCAUCUCUUCAGUCCAGGUAAAUCUGCUAGUGAGUUUCCUUAAUUUGACAGUUUGCCCUUUUGAAGCUGAAAUAUUUUAUUACCAACUUGCUUCUCUUUGUUAUUCUGUCCAUAGAAAUGCAAACAGUUGCUGAGUGCUCAGCCCAAUGGAGUUUUUUAUGGCCAGUUCUUUUUUAGUGUCUUCAUUACUUACUAAUUUGGGGUUGUCUCUUUUUGUCUCAGUGACUACUGAGAAGAAAUCUGGCAGCUAUCACACACAUGGCUAGCUGGGCCCAAGUUUAUUAUUAGAACCAUGUUUCCCAAAUAGGGUAUCUGGGAAGUUAAAUUUGACCAUGGCACAAUUCCCAGUGGUGUUUCUUUAAUAACAUUUCAGUGACAGACUUCUUCUUGCACCAUUGUAUUUUAGCUGCAGACAAGAAAGGCCAGGUUUCAAUGAAGUGUCCAAAUCAAAAACAACCACUCCCCAAAAAGUAGAGGCUGUGAGCAGGUGGCUUGGGCUUCUGGAAGUGGACCUCCCUGUUCCCAUACAAUGGGGAAUUUUAUGAUGAAUGAAAUGAUGAUGAGUUAAGUGACAGAUGGCUUUUAAUAAAAAAAGAUCACUUGAUGGUUUCCACUUGUGUGGAUGAAAUGGCUAAACACUUAAAUAGAAGGAGUAUUGUACUAAGAUUGCAAAUGACUUGGAUAUUGGUCUAUUGAUUGUAUCCACAUGAGUCAGGUCUGGCUUCCAUUUGGAACAGGAGCAGAGCAGUAAAAUACAAAAGUUUGAUCCACAAGCUAUUGUUCUCCUGAGUUACAGAGACCAAGCCAACCUUUUCUGCCAUAGGGCUUCUCUGUUCAGCCUGGAGUCCCGUGGAGGGAGGAUUCCUUCUCCCGUGCCACCAGCCCAGUUUUGAGUGGGUACCUACUGGUUCUUCCAACCUGUUGCAAGUGACCAUUUGCUCAUUAGCAACGGGCAUUACCUGGCAGAAGUUGUAAGUGGAUAAGUCAGUCAUGGGAAGAAAUGCAUUUAAAAUUUUUGCACAUUUUGCCUACAUCCAAGACACGGAGUGCAACUUGAACUCUUAAAUGUAAGAAACAUGCAAAGCACUCUUCUUCUCAGCCCAUGUCUGUGUCUCAUUGAAAUUAUUCUGCUGUUUACAUAUGACAAGGCUUCUAGCAGCUUGUCAUAACAUUUCUGACUUACAGUGGCUCACCUAGCCUUCUCACCCUCCUUCUUCCUGGAAUCUAAUCAUAGCUAUUUGUAUCACUUAUAGCCUGUUUUGUGUUCUGACUCGCUACAUCAUAUUUUCAAGUAAAGACCCAAACCGAAGAGUACCUGGCAGAAAAACUGUGUACCUGUUCCAAGAUCUUAGGCUGCGAACCAGUAAAGGAAUCCAGGCCAGUUAACACUGGCCAAAAUUCGAAGUGGAAAGGUUAUAUAUCUGAGAGCUGCAGCAGCUGCCUCAGCACUUGUAAUAAUGACUUGGCUGUACAGGUGAGGCCAGCAGGACGCAGGACAGAAACUUGGGGCCAGAAUCACAGGCUGUGCAAUGGGGAGCCAGCAGGAAAAACAGAGAUGUCUUUUUCAUAAAAUGCAUAGAGAAAGAAAUAGGGCAUUAAGCUGUGCUUCAAAUGGCAAAGGCAUCUCACCUAUUGGCCUCUACUUAGAAAGGAAACAAGGAGAGUGGAUUCUGGCAUGGUACUGUAGGAAUAACAGAGCUAUCAUAAAAGGACAGGUAUUUCAUCUUCUAGAAGCAGCUUAUGUCAGUCAUCUGAGCACACAAGGCCCAGUGGGUAGAGACCCAGAGCCACAGGAUCAAGGGCUUCUUGUUCUCUCUGAGCUCGGAGCCCACCUGCAUUUGGCACAGGGGAUGUGACCUAGCAGCAGACUGCAAAUAAGGGUCUCCCACAGCCCUGCCACCCCCUAGCUCUGCCCCGUGCACCCCCUCACCUCUCUCCUCACAGUCUUCCCUUGUGCCAGAUGCCACAGCCAACAUCCUCUGUGAACAGCAGUCCACUGCGUGCCUGUAAGCUACAGGGAGGAGCUGCAUCCCAGGCAGAUGGGUAGGAGAACUGGAUCUUGAGAGGUCUGUCUCCUGCCAGGGGAGGAAGCACCAGCUCUGGCCUGCUUUGCCUGGAGAAAGGGAUGCUUUCAGCACUAUGAAGCUUCAGUUUGGGUCACCCUUGGAUGCACAUAGAGGUGGAGUCACACCAGUACACUGGCAUCCAUUGGGAGGAUGAGGGGGCAAGUGGAGGAUUUAAGUUCCAUAUGACAGUGUAGUUAAAUGGAAACCAGGCAACAAUUGGUGGGGAGAAAUCUGAGGUUUAAUGUUGCUUUUGACCUAGUGAAAACAACUGGCUGCUCAGGACAUAUUUUCUCUAUUUUUUCAAACUCUUUCCCCUUUUCCUUCCUGCUGUUUUACUUGCAAUGCUCUUCAAGUGCGUGUUUUGACCUAUUUCUUCUGCUUAUGCCUAAUAAAGUACAAGCAUGCUUAGUGCCUAUUAGAUAAUGUAUUUCUUCAUAGGUUUGCAGAUGCUCUUAUGUAUAGACACAUGCCCUGAAGGCUUCUCUUUGGUUGGCAAAUAGCACUUCCUAAUGUGCUCACCACUUAAGAUUGAGUUUGACUUGCUGGCGGGGAGGCUGUCUCAGCCUACCUGGGUUACCUCUGCAACAUAUUUUGCUGUCAUAUGUUUUGUUUGUUUGUGUCCUGUCUCCCCAGUGGAGUAGAGGACCACUGCACAGCCUGAGGCAGGAGAAAGCACCCUGCAAUUCCCAGAAAAGGCAGUCCCUAGUGACUGUGAAAGCAGUCACAGCCUAACGUAGUUCUUUGGUUGACCCGGUCUUGAAAAAGUGAUCUUAAAACUAGGUGGGGGUUGCAUGUUGUGAGUUCCAAACACUGUGGGUUCUGAUUAGAUGUGCUACAGUCACUCACCAGAUUUUUUUAAAGCUCCUGGGACAGGCUUUAGCAAGUUGUCUCCUGGCAGAGUCUCUGGAAGAAAUAUCAUGCAACCACAAAGCAGUCACUGCUGCUUACUACAACUGGGGCAGUAAGUGUAGCCGUGACUAGUCCCCAGUCAUCUGGGGCAAGGGGAUUGAGAGAAGGUCUACAAAACAGAGUUGUGCUCAGAUUUUGGGGCUCAACAGCAGAGAUUUGGGCAUGUAUGGGACUCAGGGCAGCGGUCAUGGUGUGAUGUAAACAUUAGGAUCAGACUGUGAUGGUAGAUAGUAAAGCUAGAAGACGAGUGACAAAGGGAUGUUAUUGCAGUCUGUAUUUCUAUAAAUGCAUUCAUCUCCCAAAGUAAUUAAUGAACGGUGUCAGGUCUGUUGCAUUUUUAGCUCUAAGACCAGAGGUGUAUGAUAGACUGCAUGGUGCAUUGCCUACACAGAGCUUCAUUAGUCAUCUUGCUUGUUGGAUUGCUGGGCAAGAAAUCAACUUUCCAUUCUCUUUAUUCCUUGUUCUCCACAGUUUUGCUUUUCCCACGUUCAAC